CUCAGUGAUGCUAGAGGCAAAAAAAAAAAAAAAAAAAAAUAGAAAAUCCAAAGCUUAUAGAAAAUGAAGAGCUUUUUAAUGAAUCCCAUAGUCAGGUAAGCAGUCAGAGCGUUACACGAGGGAGAAAAAUGUAAAUUAUGUAAAUAAAAAAAGUAAAAUCACAAAAAAAAAAAUGAACUCCGUGGAAAAUUCAAAACGGAAAGUUCCUAAUCAAAUGGUAAAAUCAAAUGAUAAAACACAUAAAACGAAUGGACAACAACUGUCCUAUUCCUGACUUGGUACAGGCAUUGUCAAAUGUAGAAAAAGGUUAGAUUGAACUGUUCUAAUUGAAAAUUUCAAAAUAAAUUCCCAAAUUUUGUAACAGCAACAUUUGAUAGCACAAAAUCCGUAUUUUCAUACCAAUACUGAAGCAUUGUUUACCGG
rnacentral:lncRNA from 1 species